CUCCUGCUGUAUUCGACAGUAAGGUUCGUGUUCCUUGGACCUAAUUCCGACUUAGGGAAUCAGACUGUCUUCUGGUGUGCAUGUCCGUUUACGGAAAGCCUAAAAGAGACACUAGCUUCCCCACUUGAACCUUUGGUUCAAGGACGAUGCUUUACAACGGUACUUAUGGGAG
rnacentral:other from 1 species